rnacentral:rRNA from 1 species
AGAGUUUGAUCAUGGCUCAGGACGAACGCUGGCGGCGUGCUUAACACAUGCAAGUCGAGCGGUAAGGCCUUUCGGGGUACACGAGCGGCGAACGGGUGAGUAACACGUGGGUGAUCUGCCCUGCACUCUGGGAUAAGCCUGGGAAACUGGGUCUAAUACCGGAUAUGACCGCAUGAUGCAUGUUGUGUGGUGGAAAGCUUUUGUGGUGCAGGAUGGGCCCGCGGCCUAUCAGCUUGUUGGUGGGGUAAUGGCCUACCAAGGCGACGACGGGUAGCCGACCUGAGAGGGUGACCGGCCACACUGGGACUGAGACACGGCCCAGACUCCUACGGGAGGCAGCAGUGGGGAAUAUUGCACAAUGGGCGGAAGCCUGAUGCAGCGACGCCGCGUGAGGGAUGAAGGCCUUCGGGUUGUAAACCUCUUUCAGCAGGGACGAAGCGUGAGUGACGGUACCUGCAGAAGAAGC